rnacentral:lncRNA from 10 species
GCAAGAGUCAGGAUAAGAAGUAUGACACUCACAGUGAAAGCACAAAACAUCAAGCCAACAGUUCAGGACUAGUCAUUCAAAUGGACUAAAGGUGGGGGAGAAAAAAUAAGAGUGGAUAAAAGAAAGAAAGAAAACAGAGAAAGGUGGGAAAAAAAAAACAAAGGAAGGAAGAGAGAAAAGAGAAUGAGAGGAAGAGAAGGAAGGGGAAAAACAAGAUUGACUUUACAGUAUGAGAUAUACUAUUAUAUAUUGGACCCUUGGUGGGCAGUGCCUAAACAGAGACAACUACAGGUUUCUGGCUGUGGCCACUCUCUGGUGAAACUAAGGGGUUUCUGUGUGGAGGUGCCUAACAGCCACCGUCCAGUUUGGGUAAAGAAAGCUUUUUAUGGUUCACUAAGGACAAUCAACCCCUUCGCAAUCUAGAACCAAAAGACUGGAUCUUCUGAGAACAUCUACUUAGUAUGAUGCCUCUGGCUUCCCUCUAUCACACGUCUUCUUUUCGAGUAAAGGUUUUUCAUAAAUGUGAGCGUGGAAGAAGAAACCAGUUAAAUAUGGAACUUCACACCAGGACACAAAAGGACUUCAAACUUUUAGAUUCCACAAGUAUGUGAAAAGAUGCAGUAUUUGUCUUUCUGUGCAUGGUUUACUUCACUUAUCAUCAUGUCCCUCAGGUUCAUCCACGUUGUUGCAAAUGACAGGAUUUCAUUCAUUUUUAAGACUGAAUAGUACUCCAUUAUGCAAAUAUACCAGAUUUUCAUUGUCUAUUCGUUCACUGAUGAACACGGGUUAAUCCUAUAUGUUGGCUAUUGUGAAUAAAGCUGCAAUGAAUAUGAGAGUACAGAUAUAUUCUUGACAUAUUAAUUUUAUUUUAUUUGGCAAUAUACCCAAUAGUAGCUAGAUCAUAUCAGAGUUCUAUUUUUAAUUUUUGAGGAAACUUCAUACUGUUUUUCAUAAUAGUUAUUACUAAUUUACACUCAGUAUACAAGAGUUCCCUUUUCUCCACAUUCUUUCCAAAAUUUGUUUCCUUUUCCCUUUUUGAUAACAGCUACUCUAACUGGGGUGAAAUAAUAUCUCACUGUGGUUUUAAUUUUCAUUUAUCUGAUUAAUGAUUUUGAGCUUUUUAAAAUAAAUACUUGUUGGCAAUUUGUAUGUCAUCUUUUGAGAAGUGUCUAUUAAAAUUUGUUUGCCUAUUU